UACAGAGGGUGCAAGCGUUGUCCGGAAUCAUUGGGCGUAAAGAGCGUGUAGGCGGCCACUUAAGUCCUGCGUGAAAUCUUGCGGCUCAACCGCAAGCGGUCGUGGGAAACUGGGUGGCUAGAGUGCGGGAGAGGAGAGUGGAAUUCCUGGUGUAGCGGUGGAAUGCGCAGAUAUCAGGAGGAACACCAAUAGCGAAGGCAGCUCGCUGGGACGUUACUGACACUGAGGCGCGAAAGCGUGGGGAGCGAACAGG
rnacentral:rRNA from 1 species